UGGGGAAUUUUGGACAAUGGGCGAAAGCCUGAUCCAGCAAUGCCGCGUGUGUGAAGAAGGCCUUCGGGUUGUAAAGCACUUUUGUCCGGAAAGAAAUCCUUGGCUCUAAUACAGUCGGGGGAUGACGGUACCGGAAGAAUAAGCACCGGCUAACUACGUGCCAGCAGCCGCGGUAAUACGUAGGGUGCAAGCGUUAAUCGGAAUUACUGGGCGUAAAGCGUGCGCAGGCGGUUUGCUAAGACCGAUGUGAAAUCCCCGGGCUCAACCUGGGAACUGCAUUGGUGACUGGGCAGGCUAGAGUAUGGCAGAGGGGGGUAGAAUUCCACGUGUAGCAGUGAAAUGCGUAGAGAUGUGGAGGAAUACCGAUGGCGAAGGCAGCCCCCUGGGCCAAUACUGACGCUCAUGCACGAAAGCGUGGGGAGCAAACAGGAUUAGAUACCCUGGUAGUCCACGCCCUAAAACGAUGUCAACUAGUUGUUGGGGAUUCAUUUCCUUAGUAACGUAGCUAACGCGUGAAGUUGACCGCCUGGGGAGUACGGUCGCAAAGAUUAAAACUCAAAGGAAUUGACGGGGUCAUAGCUGUUUCCU
rnacentral:rRNA from 1 species